UAAUCCAAAACGGAGGAAAAGAAACCAACUGGGAUUACCUUAGUAACGGCGAGUGAAGCGGUAAAAGCUCAAAUUUGAAAUCUGGUACUUUCAGUGCCCGAGUUGUAAUUUGUAGAAUUUGUCUUUGAUUAGGUCCUUGUCUAUGUUCCUUGGAACAGGACGUCAUAGAGGGUGAGAAUCCCGUUUGGCGAGGAUACCUUUUCUCUGUAAGACUUUUUCGAAGAGUCGAGUUGUUUGGGAAUGCAGCUCAAAGUGGGUGGUAAAUUCCAUCUAAAGCUAAAUAUUGGCGAGAGACCGAUAGCGAACAAGUACAGUGAUGGAAAGAUGAAAAGAACUUUGAAAAGAGAGUGAAAAAGUACGUGAAAUUGUUGAAAGGGAAGGGCAUUUGAUCAGACAUGGUGUUUUUUGCAUGCACUCGCCUCUCGUGGGCUUGGGCCUCUCAAAAAUUUCACUGGGCCAACAUCAAUUCUGGCAGCAGGAUAAAUCAUUAAGAAUGUAGCUACUUCGGUAGUGUUAUAGCUUUUUGGAAUACUGUUAGCCGGGAUUGAGGACUGCGCUUCGGCAAGGAUGUUGGCAUAAUGGUUAAAUGCCGCCCGUCUUGAACACGGGACA
rnacentral:rRNA from 1 species